GACAGAGGGGGGCAAGCGUUGCUCGGAAUUACUGGGCGUAAAGGGCGCGUAGGCGGGAUGGUAAGUCGGUCGUGAAAUCCCUCGGCUCAACCGAGGAACGUCGAUCGAUACUACCGUUCUUGAGGAUUGCAGAGAGACUGGAAUUCCCGGUGUAGCGGUGAAAUGUGUAGAGAUCGGGAGGAACACCGGUGGCGAAGGCGGGUCUCUGGGCAAUUCCUGACGCUGAGGCGCGAA
rnacentral:rRNA from 1 species